rnacentral:rRNA from 1 species
GACGAACGCUGGCGGCGUGCUUAACACAUGCCAGUCGAACGGAAAGGCCCUGCUUUUGUGGGGUGCUCGAGUGGCGAACGGGUGAGUAACACGUGAGUAACCUGCCCUUGACUUUGGGAUAACUUCAGGAAACUGGGGCUAAUACCGGAUAGGAGCUCCUGCUGCAUGGUGGGGGUUGGAAAGUUUCGGCGGUUGGGGAUGGACUCGCGGCUUAUCAGCUUGUUGGUUGGGUAGUGGCUUACCAAGGCUUUGACGGGUAGCCGGCCUGAGAGGGUGACCGGCCACAUUGGGACUGAGAUACGGACCAGACUCCUACGGGAGGCAGCAGGCGCGAAUAUUGCACAAUGGGCGGAAGCCUGAUGCAGCAACGCCGCGUGCGGGAUGACGGCCUUCGGGUUGUAAACCGCUUUCGCCUGUGACGAAGCGUGAGUGACGGUAAUGGGUAAAGAAGCACCGGCUAACUACGUG